UUCCAGACUCCUACGGGAGGCAGCAGUGGGGGAUAUUGGACAAUGGGGGAAACCCUGAUCCAGCGACGCCGCGUGAGUGAAGAAGUAUUUCGGUAUGUAAAGCUCUGUCAGCAGGGAAGAAAGAAAUGACGGUACCUGACCAAGAAGCCCCGGCUAACUACGUGCCAGCAGCCGCGGUAAUACGUAGGGGGCAAGCGUUAUCCGGAAUUACUGGGUGUAAAGGGAGCGUAGACGGUGAUGCAAGUCUGGAGUGAAAUGCCGGGGCUUAACCCCGGAACUGCUUUGGAAACUGUGCAGCUAGAGUGCAGGAGAGGUAAGUGGAAUUCCUAGUGUAGCGGUGAAAUGCGUAGAUAUUAGGAGGAACACCAGUGGCGAAGGCGGCUUACUGGACUGUAACUGACGUUGAGGCUCGAAAGCGUGGGGAGCAAACAGGAUUAGAUACCCGCGUAA
rnacentral:rRNA from 1 species